rnacentral:RNase_MRP_RNA from 1 species
CUGCGAGGAAAGUCCCCGUGCCUUGGUGCAGAGAGUGCCUUGGUGCAGAGAGUGUGUGUGGGAGACCGCAGGGCCCUUGCCGAGAGUGGGAGACCGCAGG